rnacentral:rRNA from 1 species
AGUCGAGCGGACAGAAGGGAGCUUGCUCCCGGAUGUUAGCGGCGGACGGGUGAGUAACACGUGGGUAACCUGCCUGUAAGACUGGGAUAACUCCGGGAAACCGGAGCUAAUACCGGAUAGUUCCUUGAACCGCAUGGUUCAAGGAUGAAAGACGGUUUCGGCUGUCACUUACAGAUGGACCCGCGGCGCAUUAGCUAGUUGGUGAGGUAACGGCUCACCAAGGCGACGAUGCGUAGCCGACCUGAGAGGGUGAUCGGCCACACUGGGACUGAGACACGGCCCAGACUCCUACGGGAGGCAGCAGUAGGGAAUCUUCCGCAAUGGACGAAAGUCUGACGGAGCAACGCCGCGUGAGUGAUGAAGGUUUUCGGAUCGUAAAGCUCUGUUGUUAGGGAAGAACAAGUGCAAGAGUAACUGCUUGCACCUUGACGGUACCUAACCAGAAAGCCACGGCUAACUACGUGCCAGCAGCCGCGGUAAUACGUAGGUGGCAAGCGUUGUCCGGAAUUAUUGGGCGUAAAGGGCUCGCAGGCGGUUUCUUAAGUCUGAUGUGAAAGCCCCCGGCUCAACCGGGGAGGGUCAUUGGAAACUGGGAAACUUGAGUGCAGAAGAGGAGAGUGGAAUUCCACGUGUAGCGGUGAAAUGCGUAGAGAUGUGGAGGAACACCAGUGGCGAAGGCGACUCUCUGGUCUGU